rnacentral:rRNA from 1 species
UACGGAGGGGGCUAGCGUUGUUCGGAAUCACUGGGCUUAAAGGGCGCGUAGGCGGUCUGCCAAGUCCGGGGUGAAAGCCCCCAGCUCAACUGGGGAAGUGCCCUGGAUACUGGCGGACUCGAGGGAGGCAGGGGUCGUGGGAACUUCCGGUGGAGCGGUGAAAUGCGUUGAUAUCGGAAGGAACGCCGGUGGCGAAAGCGCACGACUGGUCCUCUUCUGACGUUGAGGCGCGAAAGCCAGGGGAGCAAACAGG